GCCCGCUUGGCUCAGUGGUAGAGCGUGUCACUAGUAUCAUCAUUAGGAUAAUGACAAGGUCAUCAGUUCGAUUCUGAUAGUGGGCA